UUGUCGGAGAGUUUGAUCCUGGCUCAGGACAAACGCUGGCGGCGUGCAUAAAACAUGCAAGUCGGACGAGCCAAUUCCCGCAAGGGGAAAGGCUAGUGGCGAACGGCUGAGUAACACGUAGGUGACCUGCCCUGAAGUGGGGGAUAACGACUCGAAAGAGUCGCUAAUACCGCAUGUGACCACCGAUUCGUUUUCGGUGCUCAAAGUCGUAAGACGCUUUAGGAGGGGCCUGCGGCGGAUUAGCUAGUUGGUGAGGUAAUGGCCCACCAAGGCUUCGAUCCGUAGCUGGUCUGAGAGGAUGACCAGCCAGAC
rnacentral:rRNA from 1 species